UACGGGGGGGGUAAGCGUUGUUCGGAAUUACUGGGCGUAAAGGGCUCGUAGGCGGCCAACUAAGUCAUACGUGAAAUCCCUCAGCUUAACUGGGGAACUGCGUGUGAUACUGGGUGGCUUGGAUUUGGGAGAGGGAUGCGGAAUUCCAGGUGUAGCGGUGAAAUGCGUAGAUAUCUGGAGGAACACCGGUGGCGAAGGCGGCAUCCUGGACCAAUACUGACGCUCAUGUGCGAAAGCGUGGGGAGCAAACAGG
rnacentral:rRNA from 1 species